rnacentral:rRNA from 1 species
ACGCUCGACACCUACGGGAGGCAGCAGUGGGGGAUAUUGCACAAUGGGGGAAACCCUGAUGCAGCAACGCCGCGUGAGGGAAGAAGGUUUUCGGAUUGUAAACCUCUGUCCCCGGGGAAGAUAAUGACGGUACCCGGGGAGGAAGCUCCGGCUAACUACGUGUCAGCAGCCGCGGUAAUCUGAGCGGGCUGGCAAGGC